GUCAAAACAGAUGAGGACAGCAUCUGAGUCUGGAUACGCCAGCGGCCGCACGUUAUCAUAGUAAGAAGAGCCUGCAGAUAAACAAAUACUGCCAAUGAAGUGAAGCAGAUGAAAUAAAAGAUGGUGGCUCCUCUACUAAGCUCGCUAAGUGAGAGGUCACUUUAAUUCCACCUCAGGACGGACAGGUGAAGAUGGAUGAAGAGAGGGACAGCACGAGAGGAAAGCUGAGGCUGGUGGACACACCUCUUCACAUCUUUGCCUGUGGCCCAACAUUCUGAGGCACAGUACAGAUAUUGAGUAGAAUAUCAAAUUUGUGGCUGGACUCAAUGGAGUCUGAUCAUUCCCUACAGGCACUAAGCCCACCAAAAGUUUGAGGACACCUAGCCUUUCAGAAUGGUUUUCACCAAGCCCAGUUUCUCAAUUUUGCUGCAACUAUGGAAAAAUCCUUCUUGGUGACUCCCAAAUAUGACAUUGAGUCAAUAUAUAGUUUAAAGCAGCACUAUGUAUGAUUUUUUUCUUUCCCCCAUUAUAAUUGAAAGAAGUUUUUUUUUUUUUCUUUUUUUUCUACGGGCCACAUCAUACGCCUGAACAUAU